rnacentral:rRNA from 1 species
AACGCGAAGAACCUUACCUACCCUUGACAUCCUAGGAAUCCUGAAGAGAUUUGGGAGUGCCGAAAGGAACCUGGAGACAGGUGCUGCAUGGCUGUCGUCAGCUCGUGUUGUGAGAUGUUGGGUUAAGUCCCGUAACGAGCGCAACCCUUGUCCUUAGUUGCCAUCAUUUAGUUGGGGACUCUAAGGAGACUGCCGGUGAUGAACCGGAGGAAGGCGGGGACGACGUCAAGUCAUCAUGGCCUUUAUGGGUAGGGCCACACACGUGCUACAAUGGCGCGUACAGAGGGUAGCCAACCAGCGAUGGGGAGCCAAUCUCAGAAAGCGCGUCGUAGUCCGGAUCGGAGUCUGCAACUCGACUCCGUGAAGUCGGAAUCGCUAGUAAUCGCGAAUCAGCUAUGUCGCGGUGAAUACGUUCCCGGGCCUUGUACACACCGAUAGC